CAACCAUUUCUACAGAAAAAUCAUUCUCUCAUUAAUAAGAAUGAUAAAUAUAUUAAAAUGAAUAAUUUCACCUGAGAGUUUUUCAGCUUAUUUGAACUAUAAUGGAACAAGCCCCCACUAUGGGUUUGAAUUUUCAUGACUGAGAUAACAGGCCAUGCACAAUUAACAUUAUUGGUUGAUUGGUUCUAGAAACAUUUUGGUCAGGCACUGGUGUAUAAUCCAUAGCCAACCUACACACAUCCAGCUCAAAAGACCAGACCUACCAUGUUGAUCUAUAAAACAUUCAUUAAUAUGAAACUCUUCUCUCAAAAAAGAUAACACCAGGCCUGGUCCUUCAGACUGUCAUUGCAAGAAAUUCUUUUAUAACCCUAAAGAGCUAGAAAGUUCCAAUUUAGGAGAUAGAAUCUUUGUUUAUUUGAGAGUGAAGGAUAGGAUGGCUAACUGAUUAGCCAACAUUCGGUUUCCAGGGUGCAAAAAUAUAACAGCACAUCUUGCAAAGGCUAAGCUCAUUUUUUUCAGCCAGUGUCAGACCAUUAUUCAAACCAAACUCACAUAGUAAAAUAAGCAAUUAAUAAAGCAUAGACAAUCAACUAAGUUAUUACCAAAUAUGACUAGAUACCUAAUUAGCUAUAGUGAUAAAUUAAUAAAGCAUGGAUGCACUAUAUCAACUAAGUUAUUACCAGAUAUGACUAAAUAACUAAUUAAUAUAAAAUAACAACAUGUUACACAACAUGUAAAUAGUUUCGAAAUUGUUUGAGUUUAAGACAUAAAUCAUAAAUUAUCCAAGGGACUUCUAAGAAUCAAAAUUAACGAUAUGCAUUAGAAGAUUUAUAUAAAGAGAGUACCUCUCCAAGUCAUGGUCAUACAAGACAGAGUUGUCACCACUAGUGCGAUAUAACCUUAG
rnacentral:lncRNA from 1 species